UCCAGGCCCUACGGGGCGCAGCAGGCGCGAAACCUCUGCAAUGCGGGAAACCGUGACAGGGGGAUCCCAAGUGCUCAUGCAUUGCAUGGGCUGUUCUUUGGUCUAAGUAACCAGAGGAGUAAGGGCUGGGCAAGACCGGUGCCAGCCGCCGCGGUAAUACCGGCAGCUCGAGUGGUAGCCGCGAUUAUUGGGCCUAAAGCGUUCGUAGCCGGAUAAGUAAGUCUUUGGUUAAAUCCUGCGACUUAACCGUGGGAAAUCUAGAGAUACUGCUUGUCUUGAGACCGGGAGAGGUUGGAGGUACUCCUAGGGUAGGGGUGAAAUCCUGUAAUCCUAGGGGGACCACCUGUGGCGAAGGCGUCCAACUGGAACGGGUCUGACGGUGAGGGACGAAACCUAGGGGAGCGAGCCGGAUUAGAUACCCGGGUAGUCCUAGGCGUAAAUGAUGCGAGUUAAGUGUGGGGGCAUCUACGAGAUGGCCCUGUGCUGUAGGGUAGCCGUUAAACUCGCCGCCUGGGGAGUACGGUCGCAAGGCUGAAACUUAAAGGAAUUGGCGGGGGAGCACCACAAGAGGUGGAGGCUGCGGUUCAAUUGGAUUCAACGCCGGG
rnacentral:rRNA from 1 species